GACGAACGCUGGCGGCGUGCUUAACACAUGCAAGUCGAACGGAAAGGCCCUGCUUUUGUGGGGUGCUCGAGUGGCGAACGGGUGAGUAACACGUGAGUAACCUGCCCUUGACUUUGGGAUAACUUCAGGGAACUGGGGCUAAUACCGGAUAGGAUCUCCUGCUGCAUGGUGGUGGUUGGAAAGUUUCGGCGGUUGGGGAUGGACUAGCGGCUUAUCAGCUUGUUGGUGGGGUAGUGGCUUACCAAGGCUUUGACGGGUAGCCGGCCUGAGAGGGUGACCGGCCACAUUGGGACUGAGAUACGGCCCAGACUCCUACGGGAGGCAGCAGUGGGGAAUAUUGCACAAUGGGCGGAAGCCUGAUGCAGCAACGCCGCGUGCGGGAUGACGGCCUUCGGGUUGUAAACCGCUUUCGCCUGUGACGAAGCGUGAGUGACGGUAAUGGGUAAAGAAGCACCGGCUAACUACGUG
rnacentral:rRNA from 1 species